rnacentral:rRNA from 1 species
UACAGAGGUCUCAAGCGUUGUUCGGAUUCAUUGGGCGUAAAGGGUGCGUAGGUGGUGGGGUAAGUCGGAUGUGAAAUUUCGAGGCUUAACCUCGAAACUGCAUUCGAUGCUGCGGUGCUUGAGGACUGGAGAGGAGACUGGAAUUCAUGGUGUAGCAGUGAAAUGCGUAGAUAUCAGGAGGAACACCGAUGGCGAAGGCAGGUCUCUGGGCUGACACUGACGCUCAUGCACGAAAGCGUGGGGAGCAAACAGG